AGAUCCCUUCAUUUGCUUUCAGAUUUUCAGACGAUGCUGGUUGGUUUUCAAGAAAGCUUCUAGUAAAGGACCCAGAAGGCUGGAGAAAUUUCCAGAUGAAAAGGCAGCGUAUUUCAGAAACUUCCAUAAGGUAACUGAACUGCACAACAUCAAAAAUAUAACCAGACUGCCUCGAGAGACAAAGAAGCAUGCAGUAGCAAUUAUCUUUCAUGAUGAAACGUCGAAGACAUUUGCCUGUGAGUCAGAGCUGGAGGCUGAAGAAUGGUGCAAACAUCUCUGCAUGGAGUGUCUGGGGACACGGCUGAACGACAUCAGCCUUGGGGAGCCUGAUCUUCUGGCAGCUGGAGUACAGAGAGAGCAGAAUGAGAGAUUCAAUGUAUACCUUAUGCCUACACCAAAUCUGGAUAUUUAUGGCGAAUGCACAAUGCAGAUCACUCAUGAGAAUAUCUAUCUCUGGGAUAUCCACAAUGCCAAGGUCAAACUGGUGAUGUGGCCUCUCAGCUCACUGAGGAGAUAUGGACGGGACUCAACGUGGUUCACCUUUGAGUCAGGAAGGUAAGCUCUAAGUGUCACAACCAGGGGGUGGGUGAAAAAUAAACUCCUGAAGGAAAGGUUCUGUCCAUCUGCCCAGGAUGACCACUGUGUUUAGAAAGGGUACAAAUGACCAAAUAUAUAAUUUCUCCAGAUUCUUUUUUGUUUUUUUUAAUAUGAAAUUUAUUGUCAAAUUGGUUUCCAUACAACACCCAGUGGUCAUUCCAACAUCAGAGGAGGUGCCUUCCUCAGAUUCGUGUUGAUAAUCUAAAUAAAGUGUGUUCAUUCUAUGACAGGUUAAUUACCCCAUUCUAAAAAAUUUCAGUCUUUUACACUGGCCUCAAACUGAUUUCAUAAUUAUUUCUAUCAUGCCAUAUAGUUUGCAAUAUUAUUACAAUACUAUAUUUUUAGUGUAUCCAAUAAUAUUAUCAGUGCAAUAGGAUUCCCGUAAAAUUCAACAUGUCCCUACUAGCCUUAUUUUUGUGAGUUCUUUAUAAGCAAAAAAAUUUUGAAAGGAGUUUUACAUUAAAUUGUUUAAAUAUUACAUUUUAAUAUUGCCAAUAUUAUUAUUGCCGAUAAAUUAGUCCAGUAUUCAUUUAUCCAGAUUUUUAUGUUAACAUUAAUUAAGUGUAAAUGUUAAUUCAGAGUGACUGAAGAAAUAUUUUGAAAUAUGUAACAUAUGAAAUGUAUAACACAGAUUUUAAAUACAGUAUGUCAAAAGCAAGUAUGUUGGUUUCUUAAUUAUAGCACAUGAUUGGAAUCCAUAAAUGUUUUAAAUGAGUGGUUGUUUCAUAAUCACAAUUUACAGACAGAAGUUUAGACAUGAGCUUCAACCAGCUAAGUGAAUAUCUUUGUGCAAUGACCCCUACCCCUUUGUGAUAUUGUUGUCACAUAUACAAGACAAGACCUACUUAGAUUUGGGGAUUCUGUAUAAUAAGAGAUGUUUAACGUAUCGGUCUUCACACUGGGGACAUGAUUUAUCACAUUCUGAAAAUGAAUCUGUGACAUUAUAAGAUAAUUUUAGCAAAGUUUUAUUGUACUUGAUACAGCA